rnacentral:rRNA from 1 species
UACGUAGGGUGCAAGCGUUUGUCCGGAAUUAUUGGGCGUAAAGAGCUCGUAGGCGGUUUGUCGCGUCUGCUGUGAAAACUCGGGGCUUAACCCCGGGUCUGCAGUGGAUACGGGCAGGCUAGAGGUAGGUAGGGGAGAAUGGAAUUCCCGGUGUAGCGGUGAAAUGCGCAGAUAUCAGGAGGAACACCGAUGGCGAAGGCAGAUCUCUGGGCCGUAACUGACGCUGAGGAGCGAAAGCAUGGGGAGCGAACAGG